UAAAUCUCCACCCUCCAUUAUACAAUGGCAGGCCCGUAAAUACUUCACAUUUGUUGAUUAUUUUCUAAUCACACAUUCCCCGUUCAAUAUGGAAAUCCGAUUUCCAAAAUCCAAAGAUUUCAAAUCCUCCUCCUCUCUCUCUCUCUCUCUACGAAUACGGCCGGCCCUCACGCAGCUUAGCCACCGCCUCCCUCAACAACCAAAGACGGCCAGCGCCGCCGCCGCUCUCCCCUCUCUCUUUUUUUUUUUGUUUUUAUUUUCUGAUUACAAAAACCUCUCUCUCUCUCCCUGCAUCUUCUCUACAAGCCUCAUCAACUCCUCCGGGAGUAUAAUCAUUGAGUGUUCAGAGUCUUUCAGACAAACAGAAAAGCCGAUCGCAAAUCUGAAAAUGGGUCAAUCAGUGAAACCCAUAUCGAGCCCGGUCCCCGACGAGUGGUACCCAACCCUAGCCAUCUUCAUGCUCGCGAUCGGCCGCAUCGUCACCACUUCUUUCUUCAGGCCUCGCAACUACAUUAUAGUGAAAGACAGUUAGGGGAUCAAAUCCAUUAGAUUAUUUGAUUGAAGAUGGUAUAUUUGGGGAUUAAGCUUCUACGGGCCGGAAGCUCUAACGAGCCAACUACACCCAAUGAUGUUGGGACCCAAUAACAUUGGGAGCCUCCAACCUCACCCAGUCUCCACUCCCAGUAUUUGAGACUUGGUAAAAAGACAUGUUGGUGUUCGUGGUGGUGAUUGGCAGACAGUGAGACUUGGUAAUAUAAAGGGGUUUUUUUUAACGGAAGACUUUUUAGCCAACAGUGAUAUUUUUGUUCCCCCAUAAUGGCCAGUUUCGAAGAACCAUUCAAACAUAAACUUCAGGUAGCAUUAUUUGUUGUUUUCUACAUUUACAUGUCUGGAUAUUUGUCAGCUUUGAAUAUUAGAUUCACUCUACUCCAGCUAUAGCAUUGCUGCUUAUUUGGCUGCGAUUCAAGCUGUGCUUUUUGAUGAGAAGUCAGGUUAAAUGAAGAAC